rnacentral:rRNA from 1 species
UACGAAGGGGGCGAGCGUUGUUCGGAUUUACUGGGCGUAAAGGGCGCGCAGGCGGCUUAUUUUGUCAGGCGUGAAAGCCCCGGGCUUAACCUGGGAACUGCGUUUGAUACGGAUGGGCUAGAGUUCGGGAGAGGAGAGUGGAAUUCCCAGUGUAGAGGUGAAAUUCGUAGAGAUCCGGAGGAACACCAGUGGCGAAGGCGACACGCUGGGCCAUACCUGACGCUAAAGCGCGACAGCAUGGGGAGCAAACGGG